AGAAUACUGUAGAGGAUAUAUUGGAAGUCCGUAAGGUUUUGGUGUUUGAAAUUAGAAGAAAAACAAUAGGUAUAUGCUAGCUGGGCUAGCUUUUGGCCAGCCCAAGGCCUAGCUGUCCCCUCCACAUCCCAAAACCCUAGGAGGUCCCCCCCACCUCCCCCUAGCCGUCAUUUGGUACCCUGGGGGCGCCCACCUCCCCCUCUAGUCGACCUCCCCCAUGCCUGCCCUACUGCAGACCUGGGAAGAAGGGAAGAAGAAGAAAGGGAAAGAAGGAAGCGGAGGGAAUUGAGGUGAAGAAGGAAAUGAGGGGUUUUGGUUGCCGCUGCCCAUGGAGGCCUAGUCUUUUCAGGUACUUGCUGUGACAUGUUUGCAUGAAGGGAUAGGAUUAGCUACACAGUCGCACGACAUGAUCUCACUUAGUCAUGAUUAUUGUAAUAUCUUGAUAAGAAUACUUGUGUUUAGACAUAAUGGGUUAAUUAAAUACUAGAGUUGUUGACCAUUGAUUAGCCACUUUUUCAAGCCUAUCCCUACAUGUCAGUCAAUUGUUGUAUCAUAACCUUAAUCUAUAUGUUGAUGCUUCCGCGAUGUUUUCUUGUCUAA